UGGUUUAUUCCCCAAUGUUGGCAGCACUGAUAAUCUGGCCUCCUUUUUUGUGUGAAAUAGGCACAGACCAAGUCUGAGAGCAAAGAAACCCCACACAAAAACAAAACGCUUGCGCAAGGCUGAAAGGUUAAGAUCCAAGGAGCCGAAGCGACAGCCCAGCAAGUGUCUCUCCUGAAAUUCUUUGGGGUUUGCAGGGACCAGCCAGGCCGAGGCAGCAAACUGCCUCUUCCCCACGCACCCCACAAAGGGCAGCGUGCGAGGAAACACUGGCGACCUCCGGAGCUAGGGCUUCCGUGGCGCAGGAGCAGCGAGGGAUACACCCAUAAAGCCACUACGGGCCGCAGCUCCAGCCCCGGGAACGCAGAGCAGCGCUCACUGGCUGACUCAAGCUUCGGCAGGGACACACCGACCCGGAAGUGCAGUCGUCCCCACCGCAAGUACUUCCGCUUCCCUCCGUAACCUUGAGACUCUCCCAUGUGGAUGCACGUGUGUAAAGGUAAGGAAGCUGGGACUCAGAGAAAUUAAGGGACUUGGUGAAGCAGAGAAUGUCAAGGGAAUUGAUUCAGUAGUGGACGGGGAGUCCCUGAAGAUUGUUGAGCAGUGAAGAGACCUGAUCAAAUACUAAAAAAGUACAUGCAAUGGCAAGAAGAUCAACUAAGAGGUAGGAAAAUUAGCCAGGAGAUCAGGUAACAUUCAAUGCAAAAUGUGAUGAAAGUUGACAUGCAAAUCUAAACAAUAU
rnacentral:lncRNA from 1 species